rnacentral:rRNA from 1 species
UACGGAGGAGGCAAGCGUUAUCCGGAAUUACUGGGCGUAAAGCGUGCGCAGGCGGUUUUGUAAGCCAGAUGUGAAAGCCCCGGGCUCAACCUGGGAACUGCAUUUGGGACUGCAAGGCUGGAGUACGGCAGAGGGAGGUGGAAUUCCACGUGUAGCAGUGAAAUGCGUAGAGAUGCGGAGGAACACCGAUGGCGAAGGCAAUCCCCUGGGCCUGCACUGACGCUCAUGCACGAAAGCGUGGGGAGCAAACAGG